rnacentral:rRNA from 1 species
AGAGUUUGAUCCUGGCUCAGGAUGAACGCUGGCGGCGUGCUUAACACAUGCAAGUCGAACGAAGCAUUUAAGACAGAUUACUUCGGUUUGAAGUCUUUUAUGACUGAGUGGCGGACGGGUGAGUAGCGCGUGGGUAACCUGCCUCAUACAGGGGGAUAGCAGCUGGAAACGGCUGGUAAUACCGCAUAAGCGCACGGUAUCGCAUGAUACAGUGUGAAAAACUCCGGUGGUAUGAGAUGGACCCGCGUCUGAUUAGCUGGUUGGUGAGGUAACGGCCCACCAAGGCGACGAUCAGUAGCCGACCUGAGAGGGUGACCGGCCACAUUGGGACUGAGACACGGCCCAGACUCCUACGGGAGGCAGCAGUGGGGAAUAUUGCACAAUGGAGGAAACUCUGAUGCAGCGACGCCGCGUGAGUGAAGAAGUAGUUCGCUAUGUAAAGCUCUAUCAGCAGGGAAGAUAGUGACGGUACCUGACUAAGAAGCUCCGGCUAAAUACGUGCCAGCAGCCGCGGUAAUACGUAUGGAGCAAGCGUUAUCCGGAUUUACUGGGUGUAAAGGGAGUGUAGGUGGCCAGGCAAGUCAGAAGUGAAAGCCCGGGGCUCAACCCCGGGACUGCUUUUGAAACUGCAGGGCUAGAGUGCAGGAGGGGCAAGUGGAAUUCCUAGUGUAGCGGUGAAAUGCGUAGAUAUUAGGAGGAACACCGGUGGCGAAGGCGGCUUGCUGGACGACAACUGACGGUGAGGCGCGAAAGCGUGGGGAGCAAGCAGGAUUAGAUACCCUGGUAGUCCACGCUGUAAACGAUGUAUACUAGGUGUGCGGGGACUGACCCCCUGCGUGCCGCAGCUAACGCAAUAAGUAUUCCACCUGGGGAGUACGAUCGCAAGGUUGAAACUCAAAGGAAUUGACGGGGGCCCGCACAAGCGGUGGAUUAUGUGGUUUAAUUCGAAGCAACGCGAAGAACCUUACCAGGGCUUGACAUCCUACUAACGAAGUAGAGAUACAUCAGGUGCCCUUCGGGGAAAGUAGAGACAGGUGGUGCAUGGUUGUCGUCAGCUCGUGUCGUGAGAUGUUGGGUUAAGUCCCGCAACGAGCGCAACCCCUAUUGUUAGUUGCUACGCAAGAGCACUCUAGCGAGACUGCCGUUGACAAAACGGAGGAAGGUGGGGAUGACGUCAAAUCAUCAUGCCCUUUAUGACCUGGGCUACACACGUACUACAAUGGCGUUUAACAAAGAGAAGCAAAGCCGCGAGGCAGAGCAAAUCUCCAAAAAACGUCUCAGUUCGGAUUGUAGGCUGCAACUCGCCUACAUGAAGUCGGAAUUGCUAGUAAUCGUAGGUCAGCAUACUACGGUGAAUACGUUCCCGGGCCUUGCACUCACAGCCCGUCA